rnacentral:rRNA from 1 species
UACAGAGACUGCAAGCGUUAUUCGGAUUCACUGGGCGUAAAGGGUGCGCAGGCGGCCAAGUGUGUCAGGUGUGAAAUCCCGAGGCUUAACCUCGGAACUGCGCCUGAAACUACUUGGCUAGAGUACUGGAGAGGGUAACGGAAUUCACGGUGUAGCAGUGAAAUGCGUAGAUAUCUGGAGGAACACCGGUGGCGAAGGCGGCAUCCUGGACCGGCAUUGACGCUGAGGAGCGAAAGCCAGGGGAGCAAACGGG